UUUUAUCCUGACUUACUCAUAUCCACUGCAGAUGUUGUUGUUCCCCAGCUGAGUCGUUUCCAUGUUUGUAUGGAAUCCCUCUAGUUCCCCGGCAGUUUUAAGUCGUGGCUUGGCCUAUGCAUAACUCCUUUUUCCCCAAAGUCUCUGUCUCCCCAGUGAGUUUUCCUUACGAAAUACAUUAUACUCCUGCGGAUUUCCG
rnacentral:lncRNA from 1 species